AAAACUCUAAAAUGUGCAACGUGGUAAAGUGCAUAUGCUGGAGAUCAUUUAUGAGCUAUUGUUUAAAAGUUUGUAUGUUGACAGUU